rnacentral:rRNA from 1 species
AUUGAACGCUGGCGGCAUGCUUUACACAUGCAAGUCGAACGGUAACAGGCCUUCGGGUGCUGACGAGUGGCGAACGGGUGAGUAAUGCAUCGGAACGUACCCAGAGGUGGGGGAUAACGCAGCGAAAGCUGUGCUAAUACCGCAUGCGAUCUAAGAUUUAAAACGGGGGGCCUACAUACAAUAUUUGGCUUCGGCCCUUUGUAACGGCCGAUUCCGGAUUACCUAGUUGGUGGGGUAAGGGCCUACCAAGGCGACGAUCCGUAGCUGGUCUGAGAGGACGACCAGCCACACUGGGACUGAGACACGGCCCAGACUCCUACGGGAGGCAGCAGUGGGGAAUUUUGGACAAUGGGCGAAAGCCUGAUGCAGCAAUGCCGCGUGCGGGAAGAAGGUCUUCGGGUUGUAAACCGCUUUUGGCAGGAACGAAAAGGUGUCCGCUAAUACCGGGCGCUAAUGACGGUACCUGCAGAAUAAGCACCGGCUAACUACGUG